rnacentral:rRNA from 1 species
GACGAACGCUGGCGGCGUGCCUAAUACAUGCAAGUCGAGCGAAUGGAAGGGAGCUUGCUCCCUGAAGUUAGCGGCGGACGGGUGAGUAACACGUGGGCAACCUGCCUGUAAGACUGGGAUAACUUCGGGAAACCGGAGCUAAUACCGGAUACGUUCUUUCCUCGCAUGAGGAAAGAUGAAAAGAUGGUUUCGGCUAUCACUUACAGAUGGGCCCGCGGCGCAUUAGCUAGUUGGUGGGGUAACGGCCCACCAAGGCGACGAUGCGUAGCCGACCUGGGAGGGUGAUCGGCCACACUGGGACUGAGACACGGCCCAGACUCCUACGGGAGGCAGCAGUAGGGAAUCUUCCGCAAUGGACGAAAGUCUGACGGAGCAACGCCGCGUGAGCGAAGAAGGCCUUCGGGUCGUAAAGCUCUGUUGUCAGGGAAGAACAAGUGCCAGAGUAACUGCUGGCACCUUGACGGUACCUGACCAGAAAGCCACGGCUAACUACGUGCCAGCCGCCGCCGUAA